rnacentral:rRNA from 3 species
AAAACGAUGACUCUCGGCAACGGAUAUCUCGGCUCUCGCAUCGAUGAAGAACGCAGCGAAAUGCGAUACUUGGUGUGAAUUGCAGAAUCCCGCGAACCAUCGAGUCUUUGAACGCAAGUUGCGCCCGAGGCCAUCAGGCCAAGGGCACGCCUGCCUGGGCGUCACGC